rnacentral:rRNA from 1 species
AACGAACGCUGGCGGCAUGCCUAACACAUGCAAGUCGAACGAGACCUUCGGGUCUAGUGGCGCACGGGUGCGUAACGCGUGGGAAUCUGCCCUUGGGUUCGGAAUAACUCGCCGAAAGGCGUGCUAAUACCGGAUGAUGUCGUAAGACCAAAGAUUUAUCGCCCAGGGAUGAGCCCGCGUAAGAUUAGGUAGUUGGUGAGGUAAAGGCUCACCAAGCCGACGAUCUUUAGCUGGUCUGAGAGGAUGAUCGGCCACAUUGGGACUGAGACACGGCCCAG